GAUGAACGCUGGCGGCGUGCUUAACACAUGCAAGUCGAACGGUGAACGAGGGAGCUUGCUCCCUCCGGAUCAGUGGCGAACGGGUGAGUAACACGUGAGCAAUCUGCCCUGCACUCUGGGAUAAGCGUUGGAAACGACGUCUAAUACCGGAUACGAGACGCGAAGGCAUCUUCAGCGUCUGGAAAGAACUUCGGUCCAGGAUGAGCUCGCGGCCUAUCGGGUAGUUGGUGAGGUAACGGCUCACCAAGCCUACGACGGGUAGCCGGCCUGAGAGGGUGACCGGCCACACUGGGACUGAGACACGGCCCAGACUCCUACGGGAGGCAGCAGUGGGGAAUAUUGCACAAUGGGCGCAAGCCUGAUGCAGCAACGCCGCGUGAGGGACGACGGCCUUCGGGUUGUAAACCUCUUUUAGCAGGGAAGAAGCGAAAGUGACGGUACCUGCAGAAAAAGCACCGGCUAACUACGUGCCAGCCGCCGCCGUAAGAC
rnacentral:rRNA from 1 species